ACAUGCCUACAACAUAGCGUUAAUGCACCAGAUCCCAUUAGAACUUCGUAGUUAAGCGCCCUAAGGCUAGAGUAGUACUGGGAUGGGUGACCUCCUGGGAAGUCCUAGUAUUUUACAUGCC
rnacentral:rRNA from 1 species